GCCGCAUUUUAACACGUUCCUUGCUUCCAUGGGCCGCGGCUGACCCUGACAGGAGGCUGAAUAAUCCGUAAGGAGCAACCGAUG
rfam:Tatumella ptyseos ATCC 33301 GTPT.assembly.018, whole genome shotgun sequence.